rnacentral:rRNA from 1 species
GGGACUGCGGCUGCUUACCAUGCAAGUCGAACGCUGAAGCCUGGUGCUUGCACCGGGUGGAUGAGUGGCGAACGGGUGAGUAAUACGUGAGUGACCUGCCUUUGACUCUGGGAUAAGCCUGGGAAACUGGGUCUAAUACCGGAUGCGACUACUGCCCGCAUGGGCUGGUGGUGGAAAGGGUUAUGUACUGGUCUUAGAUGGGCUCACGGCCUAUCAGCUGGUUGGUGGGGUAAUGGCCUACCAAGGCGACGACGGGUAGCCGGCCUGAGAGGGUGACCGGCCACACUGGGACUGAGACACGGCCCAGACUCCUACGGGAGGCAGCAGUGGGGAAUAUUGCACAAUGGGCGCAAGCCUGAUGCAGCGACGCCGCGUGAGGGAUGACGGCCUUCGGGUUGUAAACCUCUUUCAGCAGGGAAGAAGCGGAAGUGACGGUACCUGCAGAAGAAGCGCCGGCUAACUACGUGCCAGCAGCCGCGGUAAUACGUAGGGCGCAAGCGUUGUCCGGAAUUAUUGGGCGUAAAGAGCUCGUAGGCGGCUUGUCGCGUCUGCUGUGAAAGCCCGGGGCUUAACUCCGGGUGUGCAGUGGGUACGGGCAGGCUAGAGUGCAGUAGGGGUAACUGGAAUUCCUGGUGUAGCGGUGAAAUGCGCAGAUAUCAGGAGGAACACCGAUGGCGAAGGCAGGUUACUGGGCUGUUACUGACGCUGAGGAGCGAAAGCAUGGGGAGCGAACAGGAUUAGAUACCCUGGUAGUCCAUGCCGUAAACGUUGGGCACUAGGUGUGGGGGACAUUCCACGUUUUCCGCGCCGUAGCUAACGCAUUAAGUGCCCCGCCUGGGGAGUACGGCCGCAAGGCUAAAACUCAAAGGAAUUGACGGGGGCCCGCACAAGCGGCGGAGCAUGCGGAUUAAUUCGAUGCAACGCGAAGAACCUUACCAAGGCUUGACAUACACCGGAUCGUUCCAGAGAUGGUUCUUCCCUUUUGGGC